rnacentral:rRNA from 1 species
UACGUAGGGGGCAAGCGUUGUCCGGAAUCAUUGGGCGUAAAGAGCGUGUAGGCGGUCCGGUAAGUCGGUUGUGAAAGUCCAGGGCUCAACCCUGGGAUGCCGACCGAUACUGUCGGACUAGAGUUCGGAAGAGGCGAGUGGAAUUCCCGGUGUAGCGGUGAAAUGCGCAGAUAUCGGGAGGAACACCUAUGGCGAAGGCAGCUCGCUGGGACGUUACUGACGCUGAGACGCGAAAGCGUGGGGAGCAAACAGG